GACAGAGGGUGCAAACGUUGUUCGGAAUUACUGGGCGUAAAGCGCGUGUAGGUGGCGAGGCAAGUCGGGUGUGAAAGCCCUGGGCUCAACCCAGGAAGUGCACUCGAUACUGCCUAGCUAGAGUCCCGGAGAGGUUGGGUGGAACUCUCGGGUGUAGAGGUGAAAUUCGUAGAUAUCGAGAAGAACACCGGUGGCGAAGGCGGCCAACUGGACGGUGACUGACACUGAGACGC
rnacentral:rRNA from 1 species